UACGAGGGGGGCAAGCGUUGUUCGGAAUUAUUGGGCGUAAAGGGCGCGUAGGCGGUGCGGUAAGUCUGUUGUGAAAUCUCCGGGCUCAACUCGGAGUCUGCAUCAGAAACUGCCGUGCUCGAGUGUGGGAGAGGUGAGUGGAAUUCCCGGUGUAGCGGUGAAAUGCGUAGAUAUCGGAAGGAACACCAGUGGCGAAAGCGGCUUCCUGGUCCAGCACCGACGUUCAGGCACGAAAGCGUGGGGAGCAAACAGG
rnacentral:rRNA from 1 species